AUUGAACGCUGGCGGCAUGCCUUACACAUGCAAGUCGAACGGCAGCACGGGAGCUUGCUCCUGGUGGCGAGUGGCGAACGGGUGAGUAAUGCAUCGGAACGUACCCGGAAGUGGGGAUAACGUAGCGAAAGUUACGCUAAUACCGCAUAUUCUGUGAGCAGGAAAGAGGGGGAUCGCAAGACCUCUCGCUUUCGGAGCGGCCGAUGUCGGAUUAGCUAGUUGGUGGGGUGAAGGCCUACCAAGGCGACGAUCCGUAGCGGGUCUGAGAGGAUGAUCCGCCACACUGGAGCUGAGCCACGGUCCAGACUCCUACGGGAGGCAGCAGUGGGGAAUUUUGGACAAUGGGCGGAAGCCUGGUCCAGCCAUGCCGCGUGAGUGAAGAAGGCCUUCGGGUUGUAAAGCUCUUUCGGCUGAAAAGAAAUCGCACAGGCUAAUACCCUGUGUGGAUGACGGUAUCAGCAUAAGAAGCACCGGCUAACUACGUGCCAGCAGCCGCAGUAA
rnacentral:rRNA from 1 species